rnacentral:siRNA from 1 species
UAUCACCAUAUUUUCCUACUUCC